GUCAAGGGAGCUGCUCGGCGGGGCACGGGCCACGGCGGAAUAUAUUUAGACAGCGCUGAAGCCGUCCCGUUAGCCGGCCGACCGCAGCCCCGCACCGCGUCCCACUCGGUGACCCGAACCUGCCGGACGCCGCACACGGUCCCGCCACCGCCGGCCGUGCCCGAACCGAGGCUCCCCCAGGGCUCGCCCGCCGCAGCGCAGGGCCGUACGCUUUUUCCUCGUCACUAAGGGGGAAGGAAAGGAGAGGGGCCCAGGAAAGUGGAUGGAGGUGUGAAUUCUGUUUGGAGCACAAAAACAUGACCUCGGGAAUGCUUCACUGAAAGGCUGAGGAAAGCGUCUUCCUAUCUGCAACAGAGGGAUGUGUGCUGUUAUGAAAACAUUCCUCUGGACAUCAGUGAACCAGUUUAUCAUGGGCCAUGUCUUCAAUACUUUUAAACGUGUACCUAGACUUUUUUUCCAGGUUUUUGCUGUGCUGGAUAUUGAUGCAGGGCCUUGUGCAUGCUAGACAGGCACUCUACCACUGAAUUACCUGCCCCAGGUUCUUCCCAUAGAUUUUCUUAUUCAAUGCUUCAAAGAAAACUUGGAGAGAGGCAUUAACUAACACCCACUAAAGCUUCAAAACUAAGGGGAACUACAGAGAAACAGAAGGAACAGAAGCAGAAGAAAGAGCCCCUGGGCAACAGAUGAGAUGGGACAUGUCGCGGUGAGCGGAGACCACGUGCCCUGAAAGGUGCUGUUGAGGGAACAGAAAGGAGGCGGGCCACCACUGACACUGCUGGUGGCUCAAGAGCACGGAUGGACUCUUGGGAAAAAGCAGCCACAGAUGUGAAUCAAGUAUCAUGACUGUAAUCAAGGGCAUGGCUGUUAUUGAACAGAGAGCUUCCAAGUCACUGAAUGUGCUGCAUCUUUGUAAUAGGCUUGCGUCAAGAAUGCCCUGAACUAGAGUGAUGCCAAAGACCAUGACCUAGA